rnacentral:misc_RNA from 1 species
GACGCUCCUGACCUUGUUGACGUGGACCGCGCUGCUGGUGAGCGCGUUUGGCUCGCUGUUCGCCAAAACGGCGAUGACGGUGCGUCAAGCCUGGUGCAGGAUGCCAUGGGGCGUUAUUAUCGUCCUCGGGGGCGUCCAGGUUGCCACCAGGCUCGUUGAGUUGGUGCUGGGCAUAGUGCUCAAGAUGGUGCUCGUCGGCGUGGUCCUGCUCACAGUAAACGCCAUCGGCCGGACCCUCUACGACUGGGGCAACCAGCACGUCGUUCCCGACGCCUGACAAAAGAAGACAAUGAUUUUUUUUGCAUACAUUAUGACCCCUGCGUGCAUAGACUCGAACGCCUGUAUAGGCCUUGGCGGCAAGCAUGUAAUGACGUUAUUGCGCUUUUUUCUGUCGUGCCUGUGAAUACUGGUGUCGUCCCUGCACGUUCUCGAUUAUAGAAACUGCAUCGCAUUAAAUUGGGCUACUUCGUUCCAUCAGGUUAUGCUACGCUUUCCGUGAUCUUAUCGUCAGCGCAACAAAUCUAGAUGAACUUCGCCAGCUCGCCAGUCAAACAUUCAUGGCCACUCUGGCAACGGCUCGUGAAAACACCGGUAUUUGCUACCACGGAGAAUAAAAUAUCAAAAAUAUA